CCGAGCUGCAAACCAGGUAUAUGUAUGUAUAUGAGUGAUUCAUAACUGGUGUAAAUUUUUAGAACAGAUGAUAUUUUAUUUUAAUUAAUGGCAGAAGCAGCCACUGCUAGAGAUGUUGAAUGGCAGAAGGGCUUUGCAGUACGGUGACAAUUCAAUUUCUGAAGCUAAUCAUCGCCCGCCCCGCCCCACUCCAAUACUAGGCGGUGUGCCAACGAAGAUACUAAACCCCGAAAAGAGUAGAUUAUGAGAUCCACAUCAAUGUAGAGGAGAACAAGUUGAUGUUGGAAAUCUAUAGCAAUUGGAGCAGAAACGAGGCAAUCUUUAUAAGGGAACUACAAGAUCACCCCAAGGACGCCUUUGGUAUCCAAGGGUCGCGGACCGACCAUAGAACCCUAUUCAAUAAGUGGAACGUAUUAGCUGUCCGCUAUCCGGUUGGGGCAGUAAGGGUUGGAGAAGGGGAAUCACUCAUUCUUAAAACUAGCAUUUUUAAGACCAAAGAGGCGGGCGGAAAAGGGGGGAAAGCUCUCCGUUCCUGGUUCUCCUGUAGCUGGAUUCUCCGGAACCACAAGAAUUCUACUUUUUAAAUAUCUAAAUUUUUUUCGAUGGCUAUUAUUCAGCUCGAUUUUACCGCAGGUGGCAUGCCUGGUCUGAUGUCAAAGGCUUCUUCACUCUUUGGGUUCCAGUCAAAGCUAUUUAACUUCCCCACCUUGGAAAGUAAGAGUGAACUGCACAUGCAUUAGCUCCUAAUCUGUAUGAUAAUCAAUUGAUUUUAUACUUGGUCAUAAUCUGAUACAUACUGUUCUGGGUAGAGGUGGAGCAUACAUCUAUUAUACCAAAUAUUGCAGGCAGAUGGAUUUUGUAUGAUAAUCAAUGAUAGAUAUGUUCAGAAUUAAGGCAAGUUGUAAAUGUAAUUGCACAAACAUCAUUGAAAAUGAAUUGUGAUGAAGCAACGAUUUGGUAAGAAUUUAAUUGAUUGCCUAUUGUUAC